GACUUUAAGAUUCCUGGUUUUGUUGGUAACGCACUACCGGCAAACUUCCCACUCCAUACUUGUGCGCAUAUCUCGAGGGACAGAGACUCAGUGAAGAUGAGAGCGUUAUAUAUUUCCGUGUUGCCUCGUCGCCUUCGUGUGGUCACCCCGCGUCACCCACGCGAACUUAUUGGUGGUAACACGGAGAGCAAGUGGAAGAAACCUUGGGAGACUUCCAUGACUCAGGAACAAUCACACCUCACUGGGAGCCUUGUGACUGAUAGGUGGUUCAGGUGAUGUCACAGAGAGCAAGUAGAAGAAAACCUGGGAGACUUGCUUAACUCAAGAGCAAGAGCCGCAGCUCACCGGGGCUCUGCAAUGUGUGGCAGCGACUGCAGGAAUCAACACUUCGGUUUGUCAGCACACAGUUUCAGCAACCUUGUUCAUCAGACUGUUGGUGAAAGACUCCACAGACCGACUGGGAGACAUGAUGUCAGUGCCACCACGCAGGGAGUAAAACCAAGAGGAGGAAGAGGAGCAUUCAUGAGACAUCAGCUGGUCAGCAGUCCAUUCAGUUUCACAACAGGAAGUGAAGGAUGAAGCAUGAAGGUUUUAGGCCAAAAUGAACAGACAGCAAUCAGGAAUGACACGUCCAGCAAAACCGGCAACACAGCAACACACACACACACCCAGGCUUCCAAGUUGAUAAUCCAAAAGCCAGCAGAUGACAGCUUCCUUCCAGCACACACUUGUAUCGCCCAACUUGACCUGCCUGAAUACAAGCUGAUACAGUCCAUGCAGCAGGGAGUGCAGCCUCUACAUGUGGUGGAGGGCAUGGACACUUGGAUAUGGAUGACACUGGUUUGGGUGCCAAAUAUUAAUAGUGCACCUACACAAUUACCACACUCGCUCCUCUCACCAGGCUUAACUAUAAAUAAUUAAAGGUAAAUAACAUCUGUCAUCUAUUAUCUAUUGUAUUCUAUAUUGCUGUUAAUGUUUCAUGUAUAAUGUCUUUGCUUUCAAAUGCAAGUCAAAAGGGUGAACCCCAUUUAUAGUAGUACUAUUCACGUUUGGCAAAUUUCACUUUUGACAUUGGUUCGGCUACACUAAUUAAACUGCUAACAGUGAGGGACUACUGUAAAUGUAGUAAUAAUUAUAAUAAUAAUAAUAAUAAUAAUAAUAAUAAUAAUAAUAAUAAUAAUAAUAAUAAUAAUAAUAAAAGUAAUGAUAAAGUGCAAGACAU